AACGAACGCUGGCGGCAUGCCUAACACAUGCAAGUCGAACGAGACCUUCGGGUCUAGUGGCGCACGGGUGCGUAACGCGUGGGAACUUGCCCUUAGGUUCGGAAUAACUCCCCGAAAGGGGUGCUAAUACCGGAUAAUGUCUUCGGACCAAAGAUUUAUCGCCUUUGGAUGGGCCCGCGUUGGAUUAGCUAGUUGGUAGGGUAAAAGCCUACCAAGGCGACGAUCCAUAGCUGGUCUGAGAGGAUGAUCAGCCACACUGGGACUGAGACACGGCCCAGACUCCUACGCGAUGCAGGAGUGGGGAAUAUUGGACAAUGGGCGAAAGCCUGAUCCAGCAAUGCCGCGUGAGUGAUGAAGGCCUUAGGGUUGUAAAGCUCUUUUACCCGGGAUGAUAAUGACAGUACCGGGAGAAUAAGCUCCGGCUAACUCCGUG
rnacentral:rRNA from 1 species